UUUCCGUAGGUGAACCUGCGGAAGGAUCAUUAAUGAGUUGUCAUGGGGUUCGAUGCUGGCAGCCAAUUUUUGGAUGCAUGUGCUUGCCCUAACAAUCAUCUUCCAAACACCUGUGCACAUUUUUGAGGGAGUCUUGAGUUGGUUGCCGCUCUUGGGUGAUUUUCUCACAUUCCCUUAAAUCAUUAUACGCUAUUAACAAUGUUGAACGUGCUCUGUGCCGCAGGCUAUUAAUAUAAUACAACUUUUAACAACGGAUCUCUUGGCUCUC
rnacentral:misc_RNA from 1 species